GAUAUAUAUACAUAUAUACACCCAUCCAUAUAUACACAGACAUAUAUAUAUACAUACACACACACAUACAUAUAUACACAUGUACACACAAAUCUAAGUAAGUAUAACCAUAGAACUGUGUUAAUUCUUUAAUCUGAGCACUUGCUAAAGCAUCAGAUAGAAUGCUUUGGUAUUAUUUUCUCAGAAUUUAAAUGCAUUCCAGGUGAUCUUUACUUUUCAUCCUUUCAUAGAAGGAUAUUAAAGUUCCAUACGAGAUGCCUUAUAAUAGUUGCCCAUCUUUUCCAGCCUCUUGCAUUCGUAGCUCAGAUUCCACCCAGGGAUUCAAAUUUCAUUUACGUCUAUAUCAUCGACACUUACACUCUGAGAGAACGCAAGCCAUGAAAAUCUGUGGCACGGGCAUCUCUUUGAAAUCAGAUUGGUCUCUUAUGAUCUCGACUUAAUUGUGGCAUGAUUGCUUAGACUUUUGAAGACCAAACACUGAUGGGAUCUAACUCAUAAUUUCUUAUUUCAUACUUAUCAAAUUAUUUAGUGAAUCGUUCAAUGAUUUCAGAAACUUUGCAAACAUUUUGGCAAUGAGGAAAACCAUUAUUUUUUUGCUUUACUUUUAUUUUUGCCUAUAUAAGUAUAAAAGUAAUUCAGUCAUCUAAAAAGAUUGUGAGCCUAUAUUCCAUUAUUGGCACUGCUCUUUUUUUUUAUCAGUUGUAAAUAAGUAUGUAUGUGGAGGGAUGGGUUAUACAUAAGGUAUCACCAACUUCACACAGUUGCCAGUAUAGCAGGUAAGAACAGUGUUAGCUUGACUCAGUUAUGGACUUCACACAAAAAAAAAAUGUUUGUUUGAUGGUUUAUAAUGCAGAAAUCAAUAUUGGUUCUCAUUUACAUGAGAAUAAAUGUCAUUUUUGGUGUCUGUAUAAACUUUUGUCGAUGUGUCCUUUUGUUCAUCUACUUAUACAGAAAUCCUCAUAAAAAUAUAAGUGUACAGAAUAUCGUUGGGAGAUACUUAUAUAAACACAUAAAUACACACAUAGAGUUUUGCACUUAUAUAAACAUAUGUUAGAAUCAUUAAAUAUUUUUACAAUAUGCUGGAAAGGUUAAGGUAGUGUAAUAUUGCUCGUAUAAAUAAAUCUCAAUCCAAUGUUGUAAAUGAUGAUGAUGGUGACGACGACAAUGACAACAACGAUGAUGACGAUGAUUGUAGUAAUGUUGAUAAAGAUAUUGAUAGUGAUAAAGAUAGAUGUAAGAAAUAAAAGGAUGUCAGAAUGCAAUGAACCGCCACUACGAACAACUUGUUGAGAAAUGACAGAAAGUCUCAUCCUACAAAGGAUUCAUAACCUUUAAGAAACUUACACCUACAUUUUGAAUGAGAAACCUGUUGUCAAGAGGCAUAAAAAGCAGUAAAGAGUUACCUUUGAAUUACCUUAUACAAUAUGUGAUGCUAUCAAAUGACAGUAAAUGCAACAGUACAUAAACCUGUCUGACUGUAUAGAUAUUCUUUAAUGGUAAAAAUUAAAAUGCUCCCCUGACAUCACUCAAGAAGGAAGCAGUUCUCACCAACAAACAGAAGCCUAUGGGGAAAAGCAAGGAUAACACUAGAAUUCCUGCAACAGCUGUUGCCAUGAAAGGUAGAAAGCGAAAGAAGGAAGCUGAAAAUGAAACUGUAAAGAUGGUGAUGAGGAUAAUGAUGAUGAUGAUGAUAAUGAUGAUAGCAAUAAUAAUGAUGUUGUUGUUGUUUUUGUUGUUGUUGGUGGUGGUAAUAUCCUCUCUGAAUUUGUUGUUUUCAUAAUUUGGUGCUGGCAUUCGAAACAUUAUUUGGCACUGAAUCUUGGAAUCGGUUCAAGUUUAUGUCAUAUGACUACACACACAAUUCUCAUAAGUCCUGGCACAAGAGUAAACUAAUGCAUAGCCGUCAAUCACAAAAUAUUCUCUGUGUAAGAUGCAAGAAAGGAAGAAAGCUAACACAAAAGCUAUCUGCAUAACAAGAAAGUAAGUUAACAAACUGCGAGAGCCUAAGUUUUACUAUUAAGGAAAUGCAACACAUGCAGUUCUCGGAAGAUUGGAUGCUACAACAUAAACUAAACCUUUUACUCUGUAUCAUUAUCGUUGUUGUUUUGUUGUUUCAUAACAAUGUUCUCAUGUUAACCGUGGUGAAAUAGCAUUGGUAAAUUCUGAGAUUUACGUUCUGCCAGAGCAAAUGAUUUUUAUAGUUUGAUGUCCUAUCCAUUGCUAAUUACACCAUUGUGAAAUAGCAUGGAAUCCUGUUGUGAGUCAAACAAACUGAUCCAAGCACAUUUUUAUAUAUAUAUAAGCUUUGCCCAGAAGUAAAUUGAUGAGAUUUAUUAAUGUUUAUCGUAAAAAGUCUUUUUUUUUUUUUUAAGAGUUUGGUAUAAACAUUUGAGUAAAAGUAAUAUAGUUGAUGAGCAAUUUGAUACUUUGAAGGAAUACUGUUAUGUGGAAAACAUAGGUAUGGAUGGAAUUUCAGUGAAUUGUAGUUCUGGUAAGAAGGGAGUGAAAAAAAAAAAAGAAAACAGCUUAAUCCUUGUCUCCCAGGAAUUUUGUAGAAUUUAUGAUGUGAAAUGGAUUAAGCAAAAAUGGAAUGCACUCAUUCCAUUGAAAGAAAUAGAGAGCAUGUCAGUUUCAGUAGAAGAAACAAAAAGUCACAGCUCAGUGGUUGAUAAAUGACUGCAGUGGAAUAGAAAGUCAAGGCAGAUGCUAAAUGGUUGUUUAUUGUAUAUGUAGUUUAGAAUGUGAGUAUACUGCGCAUUUGUGUAUGUGUAUAUGUGUGUGUGCACAUGUGCAUAUGUGUGUAUGUGUGAAUGAGAAAAAACAAAAUAAAUCUCAGACAUAAAGGGAUUAUUCAUAGAGAUUUGUAACUGUUAUUCAUGAGUGUUCUUAGAAUAUUUUGUGCUUUUAGCACUGUUGGAUGUGACAAGGUUAUUGUGACAAAAUUGAAAAUCGUUUUGAUGUUUCUGUUUAUUGAAAAACAAGCAUAUCUAAUGAAGUGCUGCAGUUGCAUGUGAUAAAAGGUCUGAUUCUGGAAAGAAAUAGUAGAAGUCCAUAUACAGCAAUAUCAUAAAUUUGUCCUUUAAAAAACUAUUACCCUUGUGCACAAGACUCAAAAUUACUGAAUGGCAAGUUCCUCGGCGAACUUGCAAUUGGGAAUCCAAGUUUUACAAAGAAAAAAGAAUACUUAUAUUAAAUGAAUAAAAUGAUAAUGAAUAUAUAAUUAACAUCUUGUUUGAAAGUCAAUUUACUGCUAGUUUAAGAAAUUCAGUAAAUGGGAGCAAAAAACUUCCCAUUUCCAGAACGGAUGUCAAUAUCUCACUGGUGAUGUUCCCAGAUAAUAUGCUACUAAAAUACGAACUGAGGCACAUAGUCACUUAAAAAUAAAAAACCGAAUAAAAACAAAAAUAAAAAAAACACCGUCCGCUUAAUAAAAUAUGUGAUUCAAGGCUUAAUUCUGGUAAUCCAGUACCCUUAUCUGCCUGAUCUUUCUAAAUCUGUUAGGUCUAGUUUCAUUCUAUUUUUUUUAUUCCCCUAAAAUAGUGAAAAAUAAAUUUAGAGUCACAAGAAAAGCCUAUAAAAAAUGCGAUAUUUCUUUGAAUUAGGCGUAGGAAAAAUCAAACCUUAAAUAUUUUUAGUUAUGAACCCUCAACCAUUUUCAUACAAACCUGCAUAAGACCGUCUUUUAUUCUGAUACCCACUUCCUUAUGAAGUGUUCUAAAUUAAACUUUUCCUCCAAAUUCUGUGUUAAUUUACAUUCAAAUCAUCAGAUAAUGUUUAGUAAAUUCUUCAUUAUUUUUCAAAUGAAUUGAAAUGAAGGCUGUGUUUCAAUAGAAAUAUAGUUAUGAAAGGGUUAAGCAAUCUUCACAGAUAACCAAUUGAACCAAUUAAUGUAAACAAUAAAAUUUGCUUUACAAGUUAUAAAGUUGAAGCUCACUAACAAGUUCAUACAAUAAUAUGGAAAUGAGUAUUUUGAUUAAAUUAAUACUCACUGAUAUCAAAUAAAGAAACUGGGUGGAGGAAGACGCAACACUGAAAAGAAAGGAAAGACUAAGGAGAGAGCUGGGAGUCUAUGAUUAUAUAUAAUAAGAUAAUAUGAUAUUCUUAAAUUAUAUCUAGAACUGAUCGAAUGAAUUUGUAUGAAUUAAAUCAACCAAACAAAUACACAGGAAAAAAUAUGCGCAUCUUAUACAUAAUUCUAUUCUACAAACACUUACAUAUAAACAAAACUAAAUGUGUACCACAGCCAGGGUUGCCACUUAAAUAUAACCAUAGUUGAAGAAUAAAGGGGUAUUAUAUCGAAUAGGAGUUAACAGGUACAAAAUAUAUGUAAAUUCCCAUAGCCAGUAAAAUUUAAGAUGUAUAAGUUAAUGCCAAACACCAUCUACAUUUUCGAAUAUAAACUAAUGUUAAUGAUUUUUCAGCUUUUUGUGUUGUUAUCAACUGGUUGGCUGAUAGGAACACAUUUCUUUUCCGAAUUCUUUGAUUAUUUUUCUUUCAUUAAUUUGAAAGGGGAAGUUUUUCCUGCAAUAUAAUAGGAUCAUUAAACAAACUAUGUCAGGUAAAACUAUAUCUUUCCUCCUUGUUUUGUUUUCACUCAUUCAUCUUUUACUUAACUCUUCAUCUGCAUUGCUCAAAAUGUUUUUACAUAUAUUUAUCUCAUUUACAUACAUGCACACACACACACACACACCACAC